AACCAACCGGAUUGCCUCAGUAACGGCGAGUGAAGCGGCAAAAGCUCAAAUUUGAAAUCUGGCACUUUCAGUGUCCGAGUUGUAAUUUGUAGAAGUAGUUUUGGGACUGGUCCUUAUCUAUGUUUCUUGGAACAGGACGUCAUAGAGGGUGAGAACCCCGUAUGAUGAGGCCCCCAGUCCUUUGUAAAACGCUUUCGAAGAGUCGAGUUGUUUGGGAAUGCAGCUCUAAGUGGGUGGUAAAUUCCAUCUAAAGCUAAAUAUUGGCGAGAGACCGAUAGCGAACAAGUACAGUGAUGGAAAGAUGAAAAGAACUUUGAAAAGAGAGUGAAAAAGUACGUGAAAUUGUUGAAAGGGAAGGGCAUUUGAUCAGACAUGGUGUUUUUGCAUGCACUCGCCUCUCGUGGGCUUGGGCCUCUCAAAAAUUUCACUGGGCCAACAUCAAUUCUGGCAGCAGGAUAAAUCAUUAAGAAUGUAGCUACUUCGGUAGUGUUAUAGCUUUUUUGGAAUACUGUUAC
rnacentral:rRNA from 1 species